GACGAACGCUGGCGGCGUGCUUAACACAUGCAAGUCGAACGGAAGGGCCCUGCUUUUGUGGGGUGCUCGAGUGGCGAACGGGUGAGUAACACGUGAGUAACCUGCCCUUGACUUUGGGAUAACUUCAGGAAACUGGGGCUAAUACCGGAUAGGAGCUCCUGCUGCAUGGUGGGGGUUGGAAAGUUUCGGCGGUUGGGGAUGGACUCGCGGCUUAUCAGCUUGUUGGUGGGGUAGUGGCUUACCAAGGCUUUGACGGGUGGCCGGCCUGAGAGGGUGACCGGCCACAUUGGGACUGAGAUACGGCCCAGACUCUUACGGGAGGCAGCAGUGGGGAAUAUUGCACAAUGGGCAGAAGCCUGAUGCAGCAACGCCGCGUGCGGGAUGACGGCCUUCGGGUUGUAAACCGCUUUCGCCUGUGACGAAGCGUGAGUGACGGUAAUGGGUAAAGAAGCACCGGCUAACUACGUG
rnacentral:rRNA from 1 species